GUUUGUGAAAAAUAAAGGGUCGUUCAGUUUAAUACUUGUAUCCAUCGAACAGUAAGAUGUUGUAAUGAGGAAGAACAAGAAUUCAGACUAAAAUGAUUGAGAAAUCUUUUAUUUGCGUUUUAAUAUUUUUUAUUCAAACCUACCGAGUUAACACAGAAUGUCCAAGUUACCCCAGCUUGAGUUGUUGUCCAGACAGUACAUGGGACGAUGAACAGAACACGUGUGUCGGUUGCCCAGCAGGCUUUCAGGGUCCAAACUGUGCCUUUUCUUGUGAUCCUCCUUACUACGGAAAAGAAUGUCAGCUUGAGUGUGCUUGCAAAGGAGGUGAAACUUGUCACCCAUCUUUCGGUUGUAUCCUACCGACAACAACAACGACGACAAUUAUAGAAACAACAACAAAAAUAACAACAACAGUAACAAAAAUGACAACAACUGAAGGUAUUAUUACUAUAAUAUAUAGAUAAAUGUUAUGCAUCCAAAAACCUCGUUUAUAUAUAAAAUUUCCGAUUGUAAGUUUACCCUUUCAAUUUCAACUUUUAAUGCUGAUGAUAUCAGGACAACAGAUGCUGACGUUGCAACAUUCAGUGCAAACACAACAACCAAAACAGCUAAUGUAGCUGUUGGCUAAACCUUACAACAGGGACUCGGUUGUCAGACACUGAAAUUUAUUUACUAUCUGUUCCCGAAUAAAAAAAAAAUAUACAUAAAUGGUCAUUCAAUAUAUGUUUCAUAGUAUUAAAAUAAAGUUCACCAUUAAAAUUACCCUUUAUCGGCGAUUUAAAAAAGUGUAUCAUAUGUACAUUUAAUGUACAUGUAGUACCCUUUUAAUGGGUAUCAGGAGAAAACGUACCCAAGAGAGAACGUACCCAGGUACGUUUUCUCUUGGAGAGAAAACAUACCUUAUAAAAAUCAUAAACAUAAUCUUAAAUAGUUUAAUUUAAAUAUUGUUUAAUGAUUCGCCCACAAAUUAACUUGAAAUGAUGUAAAAAAAAAUGUUCAGUUACG